GACCCCUUAGCUCAGUGGUAGAGCGUCGCAUUCCAGUUCAUCUGCUGUGUCGCGAAGGCCGUCCGUUCAAUCCGGGCAGGGGUCA